rnacentral:rRNA from 1 species
GAUGAACGCUGACGGCGUGCCUAACACAUGCAAGUCGAGCGAACCCUUCGGGGUGAGCGCCGGACGGGUGAGUAACGCGUGGGUAACCUGCCCUAUACACACGGAUAACGUAACGAAAGGUACGCUAAUCCGGGAUAAAGGUGUUGGAUGGCAUCUUCUAACAAUCAAAGCUCCGGCGGUAUAGGAUGGACCCGCGUCUGAUUAGCUAGUUGGUGAGGUAAUGGCUCACCAAGGCGACGAUCAGUAGCCGACCUGAGAGGGUGAUCGGCCACACUGGAACUGAGACACGGUCCAGACUCCUACGGGAGGCAGCAGUGGCGAAUAUUGCACAAUGGGCGAAAGCCUGAUGCAGCAACGCCGCGUGAGCGAUGAAGGUCUUCGGAUCGUAAAGCUCUGUCCUCAAGGAAGAUAAUGACGGUACUUGAGGAGGAAGCCCCGGCUAACUACGUGCCAGCAGCCGCCGUAA